CAAGCGCAGUGUUGCCAUAACGAGCGCCAUCCCUUUACACUCACUCGUUUUCUGUUCAACAUCGUAAACUCUUGUCGGGUUGUUUUAUGUCAUGUUUUUGUUUUUACGUUGAGUUCUUCAACGGAAAUAAGACUUGUGUGAACCUGUGUUUCUACGGUGGUGGAGAGGAAAAGACGAGCAUAGCGAAAAACGGAAGAAUCAAUGGGAACGUGUGUGUGUGUGUGUGUGUGUGUGUGUGUGUGUGUGUGUGUGUGUGAGAGAGAGAGAGAGAGAGAGAGAGAGAGAGAGAGAGAGAGAGAGAGAGAGAGAGAAAUUCAAUCCUAUUUUUAAUAAUUUAGAUCAAAAUUUUAAUAACGCCUUUCAUUAGUACUAACUCAUUAACGCCCUGCUUUCGCGUCACUUUAAUUACUCGCCUAUUCAAUUUUUUAUGAUGUUUUCUGUGGCUGGUGAUUACUAAAGUCGCCCCACCAAAGCCUUUUUUUUUUACCAUCCUUCCAUAAAUUAAGCAGUAAGUGAAUUAAUUAACCUAACCAUUCAUCCAUUCAUUCGUUCUACAUACACAUAACUAGAAUGGUAAGUUAAAUUAGUUUCCAGAAAUUUACAAUAUUAUGAAACACUUGAUAUAUCACAAUAACAAAAAAAGGAGCUACACAAAUCGCCUCAAAAGUUCAUAAUUUGCCCAAAUGUAAACCCGUAACUGCCUUAAGGGGGGGUUGCCUUAAAAUUAAAACAUAUACAUUCACUUAUUCUUGAGAUAUAUAAAUAAGGGUUAGAAUUUUGUUUUAAGUCAAGGGAUGUUAACAGAAAGAACAAUGGUUUAAUGGAAGAGGUACAGGAAGAAAAUGGGGUUAGGGUUGCCGGGGGUGAGGUUUAAAGGGGGCUACUCUAAAAUUAAGGGAAAAUGGGGUCAGGGUUGCCUUGAUUUACGAAGGAGCCAAAAAACCUAUUAACUUGGAAACAAAAUGCAUCCAACACUAUCCAUUUAUCCAUCUUCAGUUCACACUCUCUUCCACUACAUCCACACCACUCACACUACAUUCUCCUCCAAACAUACCGUUGAUGCCUUCUUCAGUAUGUUCAACCCCUUACAAUCUCUCCCCAACAAACGUCAUCCCAGCUUUCUUCGUGACCCCUAAAAAAGUAAGUAUGCCCUUUGCAGUUCUUUUACCUAUCCAUUCAGACCUCAUUCCUUUCUCUAAUAAGAAUGUGGCUGUUGGAUGUGACUCUUAUACACUAAACCCAGACUACCUCUACACUUAAGUUUGUGUUUCUUUGUGAUCCCUAGAGACAAUAACUCCUUUUCAAUCCUUUUACCCAUCCAUUCAGGCCUUAUUCCAAGCACCAGUGAAGAUGUGGCAAUAACUGUGGCUUGCAUACAUUCCACCUAGGCUACAGUUUCCACCCACGUCUACGGCCAUCACAGCAACACGGCUCUCUCACACCUCCUCCCAACCCAGCCACGACCCAACCCAAGCCACCGCCGAGGCCGUCUUCUUCAUCCCGUGCAGCAACGUUUCUGGCGCCGUGCCAACCGUGUGCUCGCGGCGUGUACCCUUGACAUCCAUUUGUGUGUGUGUGUGUGUGUGUGUGUGUCAAGUCCCUCCCCUACUAAAAAUACGAGAAAUAUAAAGGAAGGUGAAAUCUGCAAUCUAUUCUUAUCAGCCACGUCAGCGAAAUGGUAUUGUUUUGAGAUGAAUAAGUUUUGUUGUUCCUAUUGUAUUCGUAUUAUUAUUAGAAGUAGUGGUGGUAGUAGAGGUGGUAGUAGUAGUAGUAGUAGUAGUAGUAGUAGUAGUAGUGUCAGUUGUUGCUGCUACUGUUGUUUUUGUUAUUGCUAUUCUUUAUAUUCCCAUCCAUUCAAUACGUAAAAUAAAGAUAAGUUUGAACUGUCUCCAUUUUUCACUCAUCGUCAGAACCGGCAGAUUAAAAAAGGGCGCAGAUCCAAAACAGCAUUUCGUUAUUGAUUGGGUCGCCUUAAAUUACCUUUGCCUUGAACACGACCUUGGUUUUAUUGACUCCCUCCUUGCCUGCCUUUGCCGGAAACGGGGUCAAAGAUUAAACAUUAUCAUUAUCAUCAUUAGUUGCAGUGAUAAUAGGUUGUAAUGGGUAAUCUUUAAGAGGUAAACACACACACACACACACUUAAACAACAGUAAUUAGGCAAGAAUAAAUAUGUAGGAAGAUUUACAGAAAAGCUGGCUAGUCACUUUUAAUGCUGUGUGUGUGUGUGUGUGUGUGUGUGUGUGUCCGACGAAUGUACGUAUAAUUUUGUGACCAUGGUGCUUAUGUACUAAGAGGAGGAGGAGGAGGAGGAGGUUGGGAGAGGAGGAGGAGUAGGAGGAGGACGAGAGGGUGACAGUUAAAAUGAUCAACUAAAACAAACUCAAAGUCAUUACUCUUCCAUUCUUGGUUACAAAUGAACGCUAAUGCUUCCUUUAGGUGGACUUAGCAACAUGGAGAGAGAAGGAGGGAAGGAAGGAAGGAUGAAGGACGGAGGAAGGGAGGGAGGGAGGAAAAGAUGUACCGUGCCCGCGAUGUAUAUGGAGGGAGGGAAGGGAGAAUGGAGGAGGAAUAUAAAACAGGAGGAGGAGGAGGAGAAAUAAAACUGGGGAUAGGACGAGUAUGAGAAUAACUCUAGAUGAUGAUGAUGAUAAUGGAAGGGAGGAAAGGAGGAUGGAGGAGGAGGAAGAAAAGAAAGGGAACUGGGUGGAAAAAAAUGUAAACAAACUGUAGAUAUGAAAACAGUAGUAAUGAUAAUGGAAAAUGUAAAAGGAAAGAAUUUAAAGGGAGCACAACGGAUGGAGGAAGAGGGGGAGGAAGGGAACAAAAGGAAGAAAAAAAAGAUGGGAAGGCUGAGAGUUCAGCUGAGACGGGAGGUAAAAGAAGAGGAAAAAGGGAGAGGAAAAGAGGGAAGGAGGAAGAUAGGAAGGAAUUCAGGUUAGGUAAGGGGGCCGUGAGAUGGGGGUAGGUAAGGAUGUGGGCAAGGAGGGAGGGAUCGAACAUAUGGGAGAGGGAGGAAAAGGGAAGGACAGGAAGGAGGAAUGAAGGGACAGAGGAGGAAAACUAGAGACAAUAUUCAGGGAGGAGAGAGAAGAGGUAAGGAAACAUGGAAACAUGGAAAUGCAGGCAACAGAAAGCCUAUUGGCUCAUUACGAGGUCGCCCGCUUGGGUGAUUUAAUCUGCUCGACCGCCACUUGGGGCUUGGUGAGCAGAUGAAAGCACCUCGAUAUUGAGGAGCAGAUGGAAGCCCCUCGUUAUUCAGUUUACUCCCGACGCAGCGAAAUGACGGUCGAUUCUAUAUUUGAAGGAGUUGAUGGUAUUCGCAUUCACUACUUCUGAGGGAAGAUUGUUCCAGUGGCGGAUGACUCGGUUUGAAAAGAAACUCCUUCCAAUGUCUGUGUUACAUCGACUCGACUGAAUGGGUAAACCGUUAUUUCUAGUUCUUGAGUUGGUUUGCAGUUCAAAGAAUUUGGAGUAAUCGACGUUAUUGAACUUUUUUAGAUACUUGAAGACUUGAAUCAUAUCCCCUCGUAGGCGUCUUUUCUCCAAUGUAAAGAGAUUGAGUCGCUUGAGUCGUUCCUCGUACGGUUGAGCCCUGAAGGUUGGAAUCAUCUUUGUGGCGCGUCGUUGAAUCCUUUCCAGUAGAGCAAUGUCCUUUCUGUAAUUGGGAGACCAGAACUGCACUGCAUACUCGAGGUGCGGUCUUGCCAUGGAAUUAUACAACGAUAGCAUCACGUCUGGUGUUUUACACUCGAAGUUCCUUUUACACUCGAAGUUCCUCAUUUACACUCGAAGGAAGAAGAGAGGGAGAGAGAAGGGAGAGAGAAUAAUCAAAGUAAUUGGAUGGGUGAAAAAAGGAAAGGUAAGGGAGGGAGGAAGAAAGGUAAGGAAAGGAAAUAAGAAAAUAAUAAGGUAAGGAACAGAGGGAGGGAGAAUAAGCAAAUUGAUUGGAGGGAUAAAAGGGAGGGGAGGGGAGGGGAUGAAGAAAGGGAGGGAGGGAGAUAAAAGGAGGAAGAAAAUAAGCAGAUUGGAGGAAUGGAAAGGGGAAAAGAACUAGGAAGGGAGGAAAGAUAAGGGAGAAAGGGAGGAAAGGUAAGGAGAGGGAAGGAGGGAGAUAAUAAACAGAUUGGAGGAAUGGAAAGGGGAAAAGAACUAGGAAGGGAGGGAAGAAGGGAGGACAGAUAAGGGAGGAAGGGAGGAAAGGUAAGGGAGAGAGAAGUAAGGAGAGGGAAGGAGGGAGAGAAUAAACAGAUUGGAGGAAUGGAAAGGGGAAAAUAACUAGGAAGGGAGGGAAGAAGGGAGGAAGGGAGGAAAGGUAAGGAGAGGGAAGGAGGGAAGAAAGUUGCAAGUAGAGGUAGGAGUGAGACUGAGGGAGGGAGGUAAGGAGGGAGAGGAGAAUAAGUAGAUUGGAGGAAUGGAAGGGGGAAAUAAGUAGGGAGGGAGGGAGGGAGAGAGGGAAGUUGGAAGGAAAGGGAAGUAAAGGAGGGGGGGGAAGGGGGAGGGGGGGUGCAGGUGUAGCGGAUGUUAGCCCUGGUUUGGCUCACAACGGAAGUGGCUCCAGUAACAUCGUGCUCUCUCUCUCUCUCUCUCUCUCUCUCUCUCUCUCUCUCUCUCUCUCAUCAUCGUUCCUCAAAAACCGAAGAUAGUUAGGUUAGGUUUUACCAUUCACCUACGUCAUUCCCCUUAAAAUUCUCUCUCUCUCUCUCUCUCUCUCUCUCUCUCUCUCUCUCUCUCUCUCUCUC